rnacentral:rRNA from 1 species
GCCAGACUCCUACGGGAGGCAGCAGUGGGGAAUAUUGCACAAUGGGGGAAACCCUGAUGCGGCAACGCCGCGUGAAGGAAGACGGUUUUCGGAUUGUAAACUUCUGUUCUUAGUGAAGAAGAAUGACGGUAGCUAAGGAGCAAGCCACGGCUAACUACGUGCCAGCAGCCGCGGUAAUACGUAGGUGGCAAGCGUUGUCCGGAAUUACUGGGUGUAAAGGGAGCGCAGGCGGGAAGCCAAGUCAGCUGUGAAAACUACGGGCUUAACUUGUAGACUGCAGUUGAAACUGGUUUUCUUGAGUGAAGUAGAGGUUGGCGGAAUUCCGAGUGUAGCGGUGAAAUGCGUAGAUAUACGGAGGAACACCAGUGGCGAAGGCGGAUUGCUGGACAGUAACUGGCGCUGAGGCGCGAAAGCGUGGGGAGCAAACAGGAUUAGAUACCCGUGUAC